GUACGGGAGGCAGCAGUGAGGAAUAUUGCACAAUGGGCGAAAGCCUGAUGCAGCAACGCCGCGUGAGGGACGAAGGCCUUCGGGUCGUAAACCUCUUUUCUGAGGGAAGAGACAGGACGGUACCUCAGGAAUAAGUCUCGGCUAACUACGUGCCAGCAGCCGCGGUAAAACGUAGGAGGCGAGCGUUAUCCGGAUUUACUGGGCGUAAAGCGCACGCAGGCGGCUUCGUCAGUCGGAUGUGAAAGCUCCUGGCUUAACUGGGAGAGGCCAUUCGAUACUGCGGGGCUUGAGGUUGGGAGAGGGGUGUGGAAUUCCCGGUGUAGUGGUGGAAUGCGUAGAUAUCGGGAGGAACACCAGUGGCGAAGGCGGCACCCUGGCCCACACCUGACGCUGAGGUGCGAAAGCGUGGGUAGCAAACAGGAUUAGAUACCCUGGUAGU
rnacentral:rRNA from 1 species